GAUUUUAUGACUGUAUGAAAAUUUAAAGAUUAACUCCAAAUACAAUUGUAUUCACUAAAAUCUACAAGAAAGGUUUUUCACCAGCACACGUCACGUCCAGCAGUUGGCCAGAAGUUGCCCGGCUUCUCCCUGCAGGCUCAUUACCCGUGCUCAUUGCGGGAGAUCCCACCGCCACCAUCAUGGAAAUGCUGAUUCCAACUUUUCCCUCCGUCCGUCCGUUCAUCCGUCAUAAAAAAAACGGUCGAGGUGACGCUCCAUGGACCGCACCGGAAUAUUUCAUUGGCCCAUUCGGAGCUGUCCUUGCCGAAAAUUACACUCCCACCGUCUCUCUCACUUUCUCUAUCUCUCUGGGGUAAGAGUGAUGUUUUCCCUAUACACGACAACCGACAACUGAUAAGGAGAAACUCGGCGGUGUGUUUGAAGAUGAGAUUUGAA